rnacentral:rRNA from 1 species
GGACGAACGCUGGCGGCGUGCUUAACACAUGCAAGUCGAGCGGUAAGGCCCUUUCGGGGGUACGACGAGCGGCGAACGGGUGAGUAACACGUGGGUGACCUGCCCUCAGCUCUGGGAUAAGCCUGGGGAAACUGGGUCUAAUACCGGAUAUGACUCCAUGACGCAUGUUGUGGGGUGGAAAGCCUUGUGCGGCUGAGGAUGGGCCCGCGGCCUAUCAGCUUGUUGGUGGGGUGANGGGCCUACCAAGGCGACGACGGGUAGCCGGCCUGAGAGGGCGACCGGCCACACUGGGACUGAGACACGGCCCAGACUCCGUACGGGAGGCAGCAGUGGGGAAUCUUGCGCAAUGGGCGAAAGCCUGACGCAGCGACGCCGCGUGAGGAUGAC